CUCUGGCAGCUCUCCAAGUGUGAGCGGACCGAGACUGCCUGGGGAGGCCUGGAGCCCUUUGGCUCUGCCCUCAGUCUGCCUCUGAGCCAAAACCUGCAGCCGGCCUUGUCACCAGCAACGCUGGGACCCCAAGGUAGAGAGGAUGUAGGAAACAAGGGUUCCCACCAGGAAGUGUGAAGAGUGAGAUGCAGGGACUGCGCAGGCGGCAGGGUCGGAGGGACGCAACCUCCACACGGGCCCCAUCUAGGCCAUCUGUACCCCGGCAAGGGAGGCGCCAGCCCAGCAUGCCUGGCUCAGCGCAGUGCCAGCACAGGCCCCACCCUCACCCCCCGGGGAAGAAAAAAUGGAACCUGUCGGGAGGUUUUUCCCGGCCUCUGCGAUGGCUCCUCCCCUCCCGGCAUUGUUUCUGCGGCCCAGCUUAAGCUUGUCCUCAGCAAUUUGCCGCUCCGCUGCCCCCGAGCUCAAUGCCAGCCCCUCACACAAAGGCGACAUUCACUUCAUCUAAAGGAUUCCCAUAACGCCAGCAGUCUGCCCCACAAAGGCCGGCGCUGCAAUUUUCCACUCCAGGGCCCCGCGGGGCUCACACACAAAUCCGCCUGUGUAGGGCGGAUGCGGCAUUGUUGCGGCUCAGCAGGGAAUGUGCCUGAGCUAAGCCCUCGCCCUGCUUCCCCUCGAGGUCAGCAGGUUAGACAGGAUGGUCCCCCGCAGACCCCCGAGCCGUCCUCAGAGUGGAACGUGGGGCCAGCCAUGCCCCGCCAGCCCCUUCCAGAACAAAGCCGGCAGGCAGAGUGUGCCACAGACCCCCGAGGCCCUCCAAGGCUGGAGUUAGGUUGGGGAGAGGAUCCUCUGUGGGGGGUUGAGAGAUAAUUGUGUCCCACAGCACACACUGGGCGCUCACCACUGCCAGAACGUGCAGGUCAUGGUGACGAGGACAGAGCCAGUGAUGCCCCGCCCUUCCCCUGCCAGCCAGCACUUAAUGUGCCCAUCACUGGGUGUCACUUU